AUGUGCAAAAGGAUAGAAAAUAAUGGUAUUUUUGAUGAAUAUGGUGUAGCCAAAAACUUAUUUUCAUUGAAAGAGUGUAACAAAAACAUAGUAAACCAUGUGGCCAAGACAUUCCAACUGCCAUUGGGAUAAGUCUGAUCCUGAUCAGAUAGUCUAGACAUGACAUGAGGCUAGACUCACUAUCUGAUAAUCAUGUCUAGGUUUCAGACUCACAUAACAUAAUUUUAAAUGCAUAUGCUGCAAACAUGGACAGGAGUUGGAUUGCAGUGGACAAGAAGACAAAAUGAGUUGAUGUCAUCCUUUCAUGACCCUUGCAAUCUAGCAACGGAAAUUCGUAGGCAAAACUUUCAGUUUCAUUUGUUCUGGUAAGUUUGUUAUUUAUUUCUUGGUUAGAAAACAAUUUGACACCAUAAAAAGACCUACUUUAGAAACAUCACAUCAACUCAUAAAUAUAGGAAGAAGAGCAUUGACCAUUUGUCUUUGGGAGAAAGAGGGGGGGGGUAUUUACAUAAUUUUCCGGAAGCAAACACUGAUUUAAUUUUCAUUGACAUACAUUUAUAAUGAUUUAGAAUUCUUCUGAAAUUUAUAAUAAUCAUGAUAAAAGAUAUAUUCGAUUACAAAGUUCGCCCUGAGUUUGUUUUCCAAAUUGUCAAUAAGAGUCCGUUGACUCAGGUUUUUUUCUCCUAAUUCAAAAUUAAUGGUUGCUUCAAAUCCCUGUUGUUAAAUAUAACCCAUUGAAAUAGUAAACAUUCAGUAGAUAGAUAUAGGAAGAUGUGGUAGGAGUGCCUACAUGUAUUCAUCCAAAUAACAAUUUAUAAAAGUAAACCAUUAUAGGUCAAUGUACGGCCUUCAAUACAGAGCCUUGCCUCACACGGAACAACAAGCUAUAAAAAUGAUAAAGGACCCCAAAUUUACAAGUGUAAAACCUUUUGAACAGGAAAACCAAUGGUCUAAUCAAAAACAUGUUUUACAGACUAUGAGCUUGUUUUUUUUCUCUCUAAAUAUUUGUUACUGUGAAUCUUUUUCUUUAUAUUUCCGAAGUGAAGGUCAUGUAUUACAGUUAUAAACAUGGGAAAAGAACUUGUACAUGUACUUACUUCUAUCAGUUGAUAAAAUAGAAUCAGAAUAGAAUAUGCUUACAAACUAAUCCAAAUUAAAGGGAACAGAACGGGCAACAUGAGAUUAUAACAUUACAGAUUACUCAGAUAAAACAAAUUCAAAAUGACAAUACUGAAGAAAUGAAUUACUUGAUGGUGUGAUUGAUAUCGUAGCAUUUAUGACAUUUACACAGAUUAAUUAUCAUAUCUACAAAACUUUUUUUUUCAAUGAUCCAAUGCAUUAUUUUAUAAAGCCAACUCAAUUUACAAUGUACAUAUACAUGUAGAUGUAACUCACUGUACUGAUCAUGCAAAUGCACAAAUAUACAAUAUUUUAUUUCUUAUCAACAGGUUAAUGUUGAAGAUGGAAAAGCACCAAAAAAAAUAUAAAAAUGAAAGCAGAUACAUGUAUGAU
rnacentral:lncRNA from 1 species